GCUUAUUACGGUGCUUCUCAUUAUAAAUACUGAUAGGUUGCUCCUUCAUCUUUUGUCUGCGUCUUCUAUCCAGUGCUUUUAGUUCUUCGUUUAAUCUCGCCUCUUGCUCGAUCAUUUAUUUCUGUUUUGUGCAUUUUAUACAUGUUUUCGUAUUUGAAUUUCCUUUUUUGAACUGAAUUUGGGGUUUUUGGUUCUUUGGAGGAUUUGUAUUUUUGAGGCCUUAUUUUUUUUGGGUUUUAGGGUUGAGCCGCCUUGAUUCAGCGUAUGCUACCUCUUAAUUCUACAUUGAUGAUAUGACACGAAAGAAUCUUUGUUGUGGCUGUCAAUCAGAUAAAAAAAGGUAAUGAUGUUUGGCAAAUGGCAUUGCAGAAAUAGAUACAUAAAGUCCUAAGGAUCUGAAAGAUGUUUUAUUGCUUUAAUGAUUUUAUGAACGUCGGAAUAACAAGAAUUGCUCCAUUAUGGAAUGCUUGGUGUUUGUGGGCUGUGUUAAAAGUGCUGAGUUUCAGCGAAUGGCAGGGCAGAAAUAGGUACUAAAGUGCCCAUGGAUCAAGAGGGACCUCAAAGUUGAAAGGCUUAGCCAGGCUCUGGUAACUUCUUUCCAAAAUUCAGGACCACAACUUCAAUGUUCUUGCUGAGAUAGAAUCUACAAUGCUACAUUUUCUUUUAAACCAUAUCUUUAGAAUAUUGGUUAGGAUUAUCCUCCGAAACAAUGAUACAAUCUUUAAUGAGGCAUAAUACGUAAAACAAGUAAAAUUAUCAUUAGUUAAUAUGGAUAUGACACAAAUUCUUCUCAUUUGCCUAAAUGCUGGUGGGCAGAAUAAUUUGACACCUGUGCUUUUGAGAGGUAGUUGAGGGAGUCGAGCAUUUUGGACACCACCUUGUGUGUGUAUACGAUAUAAUCUCGAGCAGCAAACUUGUACAAAGUUAGUUGAUCAUAUACAAGAAAUAAGAUUACUAUAUCUGGAUUUUGUUGACGAAUGAACCAGCAAUGUAGUUUGUGUUUUCACAUUGAAUUAGGAAAUCACUAAAGGUUGUUUUAUCGCUUUAAUAAUUUUAUUGAGUCGGAAUCACUAAAAUUGCUCCACGGUGGAUUGCUUGGCUUUUAUGAGUUGAAGAAAAAGUGCUGACGUUCAGACAAAUGGUAGACCAGAAAUAGAUUGCUAAAAUUCCCUUGGAAUCUGAGGGACCUCAAACUUGAAAGCUUAGCUGUGCUCAGGUGACUUAAGUGGAACCUACUCUUUUCACUUUUUCUCAGGACUCUACCUCCACAAAAGCAAAAAGUGCUACAUUUUUGUAUAAACUACUACUAUAGUACUAUAUGCUUUUAAAUGCUGGUUUAGAUUAACCUCAGGUCCUUUGACAGUCAACUGAUGCCUUUUAAAAUGAGGCAUCUUUGUUGAGGCACUGAAAAGUAAUUGGACAUGAUUUAAAAGGGAGUAUAAGAUAGUAGAGCACCUUGAAUAUCCUGUUGUUAAUUAAAUUAUAUCAACUAUAUCUGGAUCAGGAAUAUCUCAAACAAUGAGUUGUUUGUCCAUUACUCUGGCAGGAAUAAUAUUGGCAGUGACACAUUGAUGAGUAUUCUUUUUCUUUGCUAGUGAGUUGUGGGGUGGAUAAAGGUUCUUUGUUCAACUAAUAGCAGUGCAGAAUUGGAUACUAGAAGUACCCAAUGAUCAAAAAGGACCUAAAAGUGAAUGUCCAAGCCAUUCUUGGAUGAAAUUUCUUAGCCACAAAGUUCUUACCUCCUUACAUUUUCAUCGUAUUCUUCGAUAAGCUGGAACUUGCCGUGUUACUUUAUCAAUGACUACUUCACAUCAAAAAAAGGCAAAAAUAUUGCAUCCGUGCUUUCCUAUCCUUGGAGAAGUGGUCCUUUUAUUCUUUAUCUGUGAUGGGACAUUCAUUGUACUGAAGGAGAAUCUGGGGAAGGCUCUGGACCAAAAGCAGCUAUUGAUGAACAUUAUGUAUCAAAUUCAAAAAGAUAUGUUCCAACAAAAAGAUGACCACAGUGGAAAGCAGAAGUGAGCUUCAAUUAUAUUGCACCAGCACACAUUGUCAUAUACAACUGGGCAACCAGAGGUUGUUGGAGGAUUCAGCAACAACCAUGAAGCUGCUUCAUCUUCAUCUUCAUCUUCUUCAUCUACAGUCAUAUCAUCUGCAUUUUGAGUAAAAC